UCAGUCGACUCCUACGGGAGGCAGCAGUAGGGAAUCUUGCGCAAUGGGCGAAAAGCCUGACGCAGCCAUGCCGCGUGAAUGAUGAAGGUCUUAGGAUUGUAAAAUUCUUUCACCGGGGGACGAUAAUGACGGUACCCCGGAGAAGAAGCCCCGGCUAACUUCGUGCCAGCAGCCGCGGUAAUACGAAGGGGGCUAGCGUUGCUCGGAAUUACUGGGCGUAAAGGGAGCGUAGGCGGAUAGUUUAGUCAGAGGUGAAAGCCCAGGGCUCAACCUUGGAAUUGCCUUUGAUACUGGCUAUCUUGAGUAUGGAAGAGGUAUGUGGAACUCCGAGUGUAGAGGUGAAAAUUCGUAGAUAUUCGGAAGAACACCAGUGGCGAAGGCGACAUACUGGUCCAUUACUGACGCUGAGGCUCGAAAGCGUGGGGAGCAAACAGGAUUAGAUACCCUGGUAG
rnacentral:rRNA from 1 species